rnacentral:lncRNA from 1 species
UUAUGAUUAAAAAAAUAAUAUUUAAUUUAAGUGUAUUUUUUACAAUUGAAUAAGAUUAUUCCGUUGUAUAUUACAUAAGAUGUAACACUAAAGAGAAAUAAGCUCAUUUUUUUUCAAAUAUAAAAUAAGCUAAUAAAUAUAUGUAUAUAUAUACAUACAUACAUAAGCAAACAUUCACUAAAAAAAAGUAAACUUGUUAGUUUAUUUGUCAAUUUUUAUUUAUCUUAAUAAAUUAUAUAUUUUCACAUUGUUUUAUUAUUUUUUUUUAAUUGACUAGGUAUAUAUGAAUUAAUCGUAUCUAUUCAUCACUAGCAUAUAUUCAUAUACACAUAUAAAUUCAUAUAUAUAUAUUUGUAUGUAUGUAUAUAUAAAGAUGAUUAAAAAUAAAAUCAUAUACACACUAGUAGUGUUAUUCAUAGUAAUAGCUAAAAUAAUAGAAAGCUAUAGUUUGUUUAAAAACGACUUUCUAUUUAAAAAUUUGGCUAUAGAUAAAAAAAAAUUAGAUAGCUCUUAUUUUUAUAAUUAUAAUAAUUUACAAUGGGAUGGGAAGAUUGUAGUUAUUGGAGACAUUCAUGGGGAUAUUGAAAGUUUAAAGUUGAUAUUAAGACAUUCUAAUUUAAUUAAUGAUAAUGAUGAAUGGGAAAGCAGCAAUGCAUUAUUAAUACAACUAGGUGACGUAUUAGAUCGAGGUAUAUAUGGUCCGGUUAUUUAUGAAUAUUUAUUUAAAUUACAAAAAGAAGCUAGUAAAAAAAACAGUAAAGUUAUAUUAAUAUUAGGAAAUCAUGAGCAGUUAAAUUUAUGUGGGUAUUUUGAUUAUGUAAAUAAAAAAGAAGUUGAGUUAUUUUUUGAAAACAAUUACUAUUAUAGAUUAUAUAGUUUUACUUAUGACAAGGGUGAUUAUUUUAAAAAAUUAAUAAAAUUACCUCCCAUAGUUAAAGUUAAUAAUAUAAUGUUUACACAUGCAGGUAUAAGUAAAAACAUGAGUUUAUUUAGUAUAAACACAAUAGGUUUAAAAACUCGAUUACAAAUAGAAAACCGAUGUAAAAUAUUACAAUAUGAUAAAAAAAAUAAUUAUCUAAGUAGAGAUGGUGUAUUAUGGAAUGAUGAAAUUUCUAAAAAAGUUAAGUACAAUAAAAAAGAAGCAUGUUCAGACUUAGUACACAUUUUAAACAAAUUUAAUGCAAAAUCUUUGAUAGUAGGACAUACAAAACAAUUAUCACAUAAAAUAAAAUCAUUUUGUAAUAAUAAAUACUUUCUUAUUGAUGUAGGCAUGAGUUUAUUUAUGAAUAAUGGACAACCCUAUCCAAGUUAUCUUCUUAUAAAUAAUGGAAACUUUAAAUCAAUUCGAUUAAUUAUUAACAAAAACAAAAAUAAAAAAAAUUGUCAACCCAUACAUAUUCAAUCAUAUCAGAAACAAAACAAAAAAUAUUGUAUACAAGAAACGGUAACUCAGUUUUAAGCUUGAAUCAUCGCGUCAUACUAUUUAUUGCUAAUCUUAUUUCAUACAAGGAAAAAAAAAAAAAAAAAAAAAAAAAAAAAGUGCGUGCACGGUUAAGUGUAUGUAUAAUAUAUACCCACACUUAUUCCCAUUUGUACACUUACGACUCAAAUAAAAAUAUAUAUAAUUAUGUUUGUACUUUAAUA